UACGGGAGAUCCAAGCGUUAUCCGGAAUUACUGGGCGUAAAGAGUUGCGUAGGUGGCAGAUAAAGCGAACAGUGAAAGGUCCCGGCUCAACCGGGGAUACAUCGUUCGAACUCAUCAGCUAGAGCACAGCAGAGGUACCUGGAAUUCCCAGUGUAGGAGUGAAAUCCGUAGAUAUUGGGAGGAACGCCGAUGGCGUAGGCAGGGUACUGGGCUGUCGCUGACACUGAGGCACGAAAGCGUGGGGAGCGAACGGG
rnacentral:rRNA from 1 species